UGAGUAACCUGCCCUUCACUCUGGGAUAACUCCGGGAAACCGGGCUAAUACUGGAUAUGACUCGAACAGGCAUCUGUUUCGGGUGGAAAGAUUUAUUGGUGGAGGAUGGACUCGCGGCCUAUCAGCUUGUUGGUGAGGUAAUGGCUCACCAAGGCGACGACGAGUAGCCGGCCUGAGAGGGCGAUCGGCCACACUGGGACUGAGACACGGCCCAGACCUCCGUACGGGGAGG
rnacentral:rRNA from 1 species